rnacentral:rRNA from 1 species
CAGCAGCCGCGGUAAUACAUAGGGUGCAAGCGUUGUCCGGAAUUAUUGGGCGUAAAGAGCUCGUAGGUGGUUCGUCACGUCGGAUGUGAAAAUCUGGGGCUUAACCCCAGACCUGCAUUCGAUACGGGCGAGCUAGAGUGUGGUAGGGGAGACUGGAAUUCCUGGUGUAGCGGUGGAAUGCGCAGAUAUCAGGAGGAACACCAAUGGCGAAGGCAGGUCUCUGGGCCAUUACUGACACUGAGGAGCGAAAGCGUGGGGAGCGAACAGGAUUAGAUACCCUGGUAGUCCACGCCGUAAACGGUGGGCACUAGUUGUGGGAACCUUCCACGGUUUCUGCGACGCAGCUAACGCAUUAAGUGCCCCGCCUGGGGAGUACGAUCGCAAGAUUAAAACUCAAAGGAAUUGACGGGGCCCCGCACAAGCAGCGGAGCAUGCGGCUUAAUUCGACGCAACGCGAAGAACCUUACCAAGGCUUGACAUAUACAGGAAUAUGGCAGAGAUGUCAUAGCCGCAAGGUCUGUAUACAGGUGGUGCAUGGUUGUCGUCAGCUCGUGUCGUGAGAUGUUGGGUUAAGUCCCGCAACGAGCGCAACCCUCGUUCUGUGUUGCCAGCAUUAAGUUGGGGACUCACAGGAGACUGCCGGGGUUAACUCGGAGGAAGGUGGGGAUGACGUCAAAUCAUCAUGCCCCUUAUGUCUUGGGCUGCACGCAUGCUACAAUGGCUGGUACAAACGGCUGCGAUACCGCAAGGUGGAGCGAAUCCGAAAAAGCCAGUCUCAGUUCGGAUUGGGGUCUGCAACUCGACCCCAUGAAGUCGGAGUUGCUAGUAAUCGUAGAUCAGCAACGCUACGGUGAAUACGUCCCGGGCUUGUAC